CUUCCUCUUCCUUCUCCUACCCUCCCCCCCCCAGACAGUGUGAUUCUCAGGCUGACAGUGGAGCCUUAUUUCAAGUAAUGAUUUGGAGCUACUGGGAUAGUUCAUUACCUACUCCGCAAAGGCACUGCCUUCCCAUGGCCUAACUCCUAGCCUGGGCAGAGGGACCUCAGUGUUGGUCAGUGUGCAAGGACCCAGGAGUCUUGGAAAUUGGAUGCCUUUACAGGAGAAAAGGGGAAGACCAUGCUGGCUGGUUGAACACUGAUGAACCCACAUCACCUUUGUCUCCAAAUGUAAAAGAAAAUGGCAUUUCCUGCCAUGACUUCUAAUAAUUUCUGUCAUUUUUCUCUGGUUUUGAUUGCUACUGAGUUGAUAUUCUUGUAGGAGUUUCUGCCUCAGUCUUAUUCAUGAAAAGCGUAACCAGCUCAACACGUGUCAUUUUGUAGCCUUCAUAUCCCAUGGGAGCUCAGCUUUUUUAAAAGGCCUUUGUAAGACAACACCUGUUUAAUUUCUGUAGGAAAUACAAGUAGACAAUAUCAAUCAGACUUGCCUCAUGGACCAGCUGUUGACUUGCUCAGGAUUU